rnacentral:rRNA from 15 species
UUUGAAACGUGAGCGCUAGCUUACGUGGAGGCGUUGGUGGGAUACUACCCUAGCUGUGUUGGCUUUCUAACCCGCACCACUUAUCGUGGUGGGAGACAGUGUCAGGCGGGCAGUUUGACUGGGGCGGUCGCCUCCUAAAAGGUAACGGAGGCGCUCAAAGGUUCCCUCAGAAUGGUUGGAAAUCAUUCAUAGAGUGUAAAGGCAUAAGGGAGCUUGACUGCGAGACCUACAAGUCGAGCAGGGUCGAAAGACGGACUUAGUGAUCCGGUGGUUCCGCAUGGAAGGGCCAUCGCUCAAAGGAUAAAAGGUACGCCGGG